UACAGAGGUCCCGAGCGUUGUUCGGAUUCAUUGGGCGUAAAGGGUGCGUAGGCGGUCUGCUAAGUUUGGUGUGAAAUCCCGGGGCUCAACCCUGGAAUGGCAUUGAAUACUGGCGGACUAGAGUACCGGAGAGGAAACUGGAAUUUACGGUGUAGCAGUGAAAUGCGUAGAGAUCGUAAGGAAGACCAGUGGCGAAGGCGGCUACCUGGCCCAAUACCGACGUUCAGGCACGAAAGCGUGGGGAGCAAACAGG
rnacentral:rRNA from 1 species